UACGUAGGGACCAAGCGUUGUUCGGAUUUACUGGGCGUAAAGAGCUCGUAGGCGGUUCGGUAAGUCGGAUGUGAAAACUCAGGGCUCAACCCGGAGACGCCAUCCGAUACUGCUGUGACUUGAGUCUGGUAGGGGAACACGGAAUUCCUGGUGUAGCGGUGAAAUGCGCAGAUAUCAGGAGGAACACCGAUGGCGAAGGCAGUGUUCUGGGCCAGUACUGACGCUGAGGAGCGAAAGCGUGGGGAGCAAACAGG
rnacentral:rRNA from 1 species